rnacentral:rRNA from 1 species
GACGAACGCUGGCGGCGUGCUUAACACAUGCAAGUCGAACGGUGAAGUGACUUCCUUUUUGGUGGGUGUGGAUGAGUGGCGAACGGGUGAGUAACACGUGAGUCACCUGCCCACUUCUUCUGGAUAUCCGCAUGACAGUGUGGCUACUACGGGAUAUUCUGGGUCUGUCGCAUGAUGGGUCUGGGACAGUUUUUGUUUCGGUGGGGGAUGGGCUCGCGGCCUAUCAGCUUGUUGGUGGGGUGAUGGCCUACCAAGGCGGUGACGAGUAGCCGGCCUGAGAGGAUCGACCGUCACAGUGCGGAUGAGACACGGCCCAGACUACUACGGGAAGCAGCAGGGAGUAAUAUUGCACGAGGGGCGCAAGGCUGAUGCAGCGACGCCGCGGGAAGGAUGGAGGCCGGCUGGUUGAGAACCUCUUUCGCGAAUGAAGCAGGCCGGCCUCGUCUGUGGGUGGGUUGACGGUAGCUAGAUAAGAAGCGCCGGCUAACUACGUG